UCCCUCACUAAUUUUCUUUUUCCGUAACCUCUCGCACGCGACUCUCACUCACUCACUUUCACUCAGACUUCUCUUCUCUUCUCUCUUCUAUUUUCAUUUUCUUUCUCUGGUUUUGACCUAAGGGGCUGCGUGCGGCGCCUCUCUCUCUCUCUCACCUCACCAAAGCUCAGAUCUUCAAUCGACCUCGGAUCUUUGAACAACAACAUCAGCGUCGCUCCUUCCUUCAUCGAUCUCUCGAUCUGUCAUCUGCCGCCAGCACGCACAGCACAAACCCUAUCAAUUCUAAUACUUGCACGCUUGAGGCAGCAGCGACAACCACCUCCCUUGCCGAAGAGCGACAUUGGCGUUUUGGUUGCUCAGGGUGAUGUAGGAAUUGAUAUGGACCCAAUUGAUCGCCCCUAGAGAAUUGGUAACCUCGGGGUGAUGUAGGGAAUCGGCAUCGACCCAAUUGAUUGCUCCAGAGGAUUGGUAACCUCAGGGUGAUGUAGAGAAUCGACAUGGACCCAAUUGAUCGCCCAAGAGAAUUGGUAAGCUAGGGAUGAUGUUGGAAUCUACAUGGACCCAAUUGAUUACCUCCAGGGGAUUGGUAACCUUAGGGUGAUGUUGGGAUCGUCAUGGAUCCAAUUGAUUGCCCCCAGGAGAUUGGUAACUCCCGAGGUGAUGUAGGAAUCGGCAUGGAUCUAAUGAUAUUGUUAAGAAAUUCAUAUGAACCAAGAUAGUUUGCGGAGUUUUGAAGCAUACCAUAUUUAUUGUGCUUUGAUAAUGACCAAGUGGUCGCCCAAGCACCAUUUCAUAGAGUGUCUUGGCUUUGGUACACACCUCUCCUUAUCUUCAAUUUAUCAUCAACUCUG